UGAAGGUGGCAACCUCCUAAUCCUAGAGAGCAAAUGUCGGGAAAGGGAGGGGAAAAACCCCAGAGGGCACACAGAUGGUCAAAAACUGAUGGAGAGCACAACUGCCUGGCAGUGAGCCUGUGUGUGUUAAUCUGAAAACAAUUGUCCUACAGAUGCACAGUUCUUCUGAUAAACCAAGUUCCAGCAGCUAAUGACAAGCUGGGAGCUGUUUAACCACAGAGCAGACAAAACAGAUUUUUCCACUACGGCUUCUGAUGGAAUUUUUUAAAAAUAAUGAGUUGAGGUUUGUGUUUGUUUGGUUCGGUUUGGGGCGGUUUUUUUGUCUUUUUUUUUAAAAAAAGCCUCCUUUCAUUUGCAUUUAAAAACUGGUUUUGUGUGUCCUACCCCUUCCAUCUCCGACCUUCCUGCUCAGCAGCUGCCGAGGAGUCCAGCUCCGUGUCCGGAUGCUGUUCAAGUUUGCUGUGCCAGCAGUGAGCAGUUUUUAACAGCCUGGGUAGUCAGUGCUUUUUCUGUCUGGUCCUCUGUUGCUGGCAGUGCCCGUGGUGCUGUAAUCAAGCCUGUUCACAGAGCCAGGCUGGGCUGGGUGCAGGGAUGGAUGAUCCACAUGGGAAGCAGCUCCAGCCCUGAGCUGCCGACUGACCCAGCCCUCCAACGUGCUGUGGCCUGAGAGAAAAUGUCAUGGAAGUCUGUACCUUGAACUCUUGCCACCCUUAAUUAACCACAUAAGGUCUCUCUUACACAGUGCUCUUCAUCAGCUCAUUUGUCUUGUUCUCUUCGUUUGGCAGAUGGAGAAGGUAAAACUCAGAGGACCAUCAUUUCUCAUCCAUGGAGCCCAUCUGCACAAGCCAAAAUAAACCAAAUUUCCCCCAAAUGCCAGGCCAGCGCACUAACCACAAGGUGUUUUGACCUCUUUUUCCUGAGACUGUUUUGCAGCAGUACUUCCAUUCUCCUCUCCCUUCAUCUCCACUCCGGGAUUCUCCAAAACUCCCCAGGGAGACGGUGCUGCCCUUCAGCAGCAGGACUGCAGGGUGGGGAGGAGAAGAAGCUGCAUCAGGACCCACAAGCUGGAGAGAUUCGGGCACUCAGCUGCAAAGUUUUCCACCAAAGCUGGGCUCUCCUGAAGGGAUUAGUCUGACUUCCCAGAGGAUUUACCCGCUGACUGAGGGCGGGUCGUGGAAAGCAGCCGGGAAGGCAGAAACACCCAAGGGCAAGUGAUGUGAUCCAGGAGGUCUGUGCUGGUGGCUGGCAGGCCAGGACAAGUCCCCUCAGUGCUCCUGUCUGCACAGGCAGCUGCUCAGUGCCCCAGGGAAGCUGUGAGGAAGGGGAUACAGUCACUCCCAAAGUGGGAGGAGAGGCUGGAGAAGCAGAGCUCCAAGAGACUGCUUGUAGGCUGGCCCUCAGCAGUGACCCCAGGGCUGUCAUACAGGGAGGUCUGCACAGCCCCUUCCCUGAUUGCUGAGAACCUGAAGUUCCUCUUGCAGCUGGAGAUUCACCCAUGUGAAGCACAGAACCAUGGAAUGGUUU
rnacentral:lncRNA from 1 species